UCAGAUUCGGUAAAAUGGUCUGCACAAAC
rnacentral:sRNA from 1 species